GGCUGCCUAGCGCAAUGGUAGCGCGUUUGGCUUCGACGAGACGAUACCCUCAGGUACCAAAAGGUUGCAUGUUCGAGUCCUGCGGUGGUCA
rnacentral:tRNA from 1 species